ensembl:lncRNA
CCGACAGAAUUCCCACUACAGUUAAGCGUUUAUUCGUUCUCGCUGGCAGGCACAAGCAGGGAACUGCUUUGUACACUUGCACGUAUUUCACAGGGAGAGAACCCCCCUCCUCAUUCUUGAAGCCAUUCUGUUUCUGUGUACAGUUCAUUGCUUAGCAAACGUUGUGCAAGGAGCUGGUAGAUGCCAAGGAGAGGUUGUGUAGUGUGGAGAACAAUUGCAAUUUGAGUUAUGAUGCUCUCCCAUUACUCAAAUUGCUAGAUUCCUACAAUUAUACUUCCUAUUUUUCUUUCAUAUUUGUAAAAACAUAUUUUAGUCAUUUGUUGUGUACUCUGGAAGUUGCUUUUCAGGUACAAACUUCUUUUUCUCCUCAGUAUAUGUCAUUUCUUUUCAUCUGGAAGCCAAUGGUUAAAGGAGGAUGUAAAAGGAAACAUGCAGAAGAGAACUGCAAAAGACCAGAUGUCAGCAGCAUGACUGCACAAUAAACAGAACUGAAGAUGUGCUCAGAGCCCCACUGACUGCAGCUUGGAGCCGGGUGACUUGGCUCAAACCCAUCCACUCUGCACUUUAGUCAAGGAUGCUGUGCUUUGUGCUCAAGCACGAGGGUAAGCACAUGUUUUAUCCUGCUGGUCCCAGUAACCACUAGCAAAGGAAAAGGGCAGACAGCUGAGAAUAGGAGAAUAUUUACCGGUCACAGUGAGAUUUGACAGAACUCAGCUGUUAAUCUUUAAGUUUGAUUUAAGUUUUACUGGGAGGAGGGGAGGCUUUAUCACACUGCUCACCCAUGCCCCGCUAUUGUAUGUAUGGCUAGAUACUGGCAUUUAUAGUGGAAAAUGUAACCACUACCAAUCUGAGCCAAGUAGUUACUGUAGUAUGACCGUGUGGUUAGCAAAUGCUGUGGGACAGGAUUGAACAGUGCUCCCUUUCCCAGCUGGCAACACUUAACCCUGCUGUCUGUUCCAGUCAGUGUUUGCUGGAGCCUCUUCCUGAACAAACAAGAUUGCCCAAUGCAGAGAAAGCAAUAGUGGCCAUCUGAGAAAAGGAAGCACUCUGGGGAAUUAAGUGAAUACAGGGAGUGUAGUUAUUUAGGGCACUGUGAUGGCUGACAUACUGAAAUCCACAGUAGAACAGGAUACUACACCAUGCAAUCAGGCUUGUCAACAGCUGAGAAAGACACAGUAUUAGUAAUAGCUAAGAAUUGCAUUAGAGAUGUUUUACUGCAGUGGAAAGAAUUCUUCAUCAAUGUUUACUAAUAUUUAGAAGGUUUAUUUUUCUGAGGUUUUACAUCUGUUUAGCAGGAAACACUAGAAAAUACUGACAUUUCUUACAAUUAAAAAAGCGUGAAACCAUAUAUGCAGCAUAAGUCCAAAUGUGCUACAGAGAAUCGCAACUGCCACGAUAAUUUUCACCUUCUGAUCUUCUCUUAAAAAGUUUGAAGGAAAAUGGUAAAAUACUCCAAGCUACCAUUUAAGUUCUCAAAACUAACAGUGGGAAAGGAUGAACUAAGUGUUCUACAAUAACGGCAAAUGAGACGCCUACUGUCUCUUAGGCACCUUUAUCAGCAGUUGUUACAGAUUAAUACAGAGGAAAAACAGAGAUGAGAAACUAUGACAGCUAGAGCGGUUUAUAAAAGGAGACUGUCUGACUUGAGCGGUGAUCAUGUUAGGAUAGGUUUUCUUUCUUUUCUAUAUCUCCAUUAAAUCAAUCUGUUCUUCAGAAAAAAAAAAAAAAAGGCUAUGUACCUUACCAUUUAAGAAUUACUCUGAUCACAUUUAAAGUAGCUCGAGCAGCAAUAAAAGAAAGAGCAAUGAGGACUCCUAACUGCUG